rnacentral:lncRNA from 1 species
CCGAUGACAAAUGUUAAACCGGUUACCGGAGCGGUCAUAUUUAUGUAAAGAAGGCAACAACAAAGGCGAGUAUCGUGAGGCUAUUAGGAUAACACGUGUUACUUACAGCAGCGGAAUUUGACCGUAACCGACACAUGACCUGGCACGUGGUGGACUAUUCCAUCUGGGUCCCUCAACCUUAAUAAAUAUCAAUACUAGACGUUAUUUUAUGAAUAUAAUAUUUCAUGUCAAGGGGCAUGAUUACAAGUUAAGAAACUUUCUUAUAAAUACUAAAUAAAACUAGAAACUUAUAAAAAAAUUCUCAUGGAUGUAGUUUGUAUGUUUUAUGUAAAUCAAUUGGGACUAAGCUUAAUUUAGAUGUACAAUAACUCAGUAACUAAUUUUAAAGACUUAAAAUAUGACAAAAGUAUGUUACAAAUAUUCAUUUACGAAAAAAAAGGUUACAAAUAUAAGAUUGAAAUUGCAGGAUAAGGAAAAUAUGACUGAUAUGCUGACAGAUUACCA